rnacentral:lncRNA from 1 species
GACGCGGGCGAGCUGCGGCUCGGACGCCAGCGGACACGCGGGCGAGAUGUUUGAAGUGAGGCCAGGCAUGUUGGCUCACGCCUGUAAUCCCAGCACUUUGGGAGGCCAAGGUGGGAGAAUCACUUGAGGCCAGGAGUUGGAGACCAGCCUGGGCAACAUAGCAAGACUGCAUCUCUACCAAAAAAAAGAAAAGAUGCUUGAAGUGAAUGUAUACUCAUUUCCUAGUUGUUUCUUUCUGUAAGGAUGUCUGACCCAGCUAAUUUGUAAACAGGAAUUCUGCAUUCAUUUCUGUCUUUGCAUUCUCAACCCCAGUUGGGCACACAAGUG